rnacentral:tRNA from 1 species
AAUGAAGUGCCUGAUUAAAGGGUUACUUUGAUAGGAUAAAUAAUGUAAAAUUUACCUUCAUUA